rnacentral:rRNA from 1 species
CUCGUAGUUGGAUUUGUGGUGCGCUUGCGGCGUCCAUUUACUUGGUUCUGCCGUGGUCGCGCCAUCCUUGGGUGGAUGCUGUGUGGCAUUAGGUUGUCGCGCAGUGGAUGCCCAUCGUUUACUGUGAAAAAAUUAGAGUGUUCAAAGCAGGCUUAUGCCGUUGAAUAUAUUAGCAUGGAAUAAUAAGAUAGGUCUUUGGUCCUAUUUUGUUGGUUUGCGGGCCAGAGAAAUGAUUAACAGGGACAGUUGGGGGUAUUCGUAUUCCAUUGUCAGAGGUGAAAUUCUUGGAUUUCUGGAAGACGAACUACUGCGAAAGCAUUUACCAAGGAUGUUUUCAUUAAUCAAGAACGAAAGUUAGGGGAUCGAAGAUGAUUAGAUNNNUUUCGNUAGUCANA